UGCCCAGCAACUCCUAUCCCUACCACCUCGUGGUACUGGCCGGGGUACGAGUAACCUUGGGCAAGAUCGGGUAACCAACCCCCGGUGGGAACUUUGGUCGUAUGCUGACAGGGAAGG
rnacentral:ribozyme from 1 species